GCCAGAGCCAUAAUCUCCCUGCAGCUCUCGCCUGGUUUCCCACUGAAGCCAAGAAGGGUUGAGUCUGUCCAGAACCUGGAUGGGACACCUCCUGUGGAAAACUAAGAUUGCUGCUGGAG
rnacentral:rRNA from 1 species